rnacentral:tRNA from 1 species
GCGGGUGUAGCUCACUUGGCAGAGCGCAAGAUUGUGGCUCUUGAGGUAAUGGGUUCGAUCCCCAUCACUCGCC